rnacentral:rRNA from 1 species
AAACUUUCAACAACGGUUCUCUUGGUUCUGGCAUCGAUGAAGAACGCAGCGAAAUGCGAUAAGUAAUGUGAAUUGCAGAAUUCAGUGAAUCAUCGAAUCUUUGAACGCGCAUUGCGCCCCUUGGUAUUCCGAGGGGCAUGCCUGUUCGAGCGUCAUUA